rnacentral:rRNA from 1 species
UACGUAGGGGGCAAGCGUUGUCCGGAUUUAUUGGGCGUAAAGAGCGUGUAGGCGGCCAAGCAGGUCCGUUGUGAAAACUGGAGGCUUAACCUCCAGACGUCGACGGAAACCGCGUGGCUAGAGUCCGGAAGAGGAGAGUGGAAUUCCUGGUGUAGCGGUGAAAUGCGCAGAUAUCAGGAAGAACACCCGUGGCGAAGGCGGCUCUCUGGGACGGUACUGACGCUGAGACGCGAAAGCGUGGGGAGCGAACAGG